rnacentral:rRNA from 1 species
UGUAAGCGUAUACCAAAGUUGUUGCAGUUAAAACGCUCGUAGUCGGAAUUUGGCAGUUCCGGAUGUGUGCACGUCGUGUGCGCACUUCGCGGGGAUUGCUUUUGUGGUCUUGCGUAGGAUGAGGCACUUUUAUUAGUGAACGUCCUCACGCAACCACUUUUUACUGUGAGAAAAUCAGAGUGCUCAAAGCAGGCAUUUGCCGUGAAUGUAUUAGCAUGGAAUAAUAGAAUAGGACUUGGUUCUCUUUUGUUGGUUUGUUGGGACUGAGUAAUGAUUAAGAGGGACAGUUGGGGGCAUUUGUAUUUCGGUGCUAGAGGUGAAAUUCUUAGAUUACCGAAAGACAAACUGCUGCGAAAGCGUCUGCCAAGGAUGUUUUCAUUGA